UUACACACUUCUUCGAAUCUGAGUGGAGGGCGACAGGCGACAGCAUAAUCUGUCAAUCUGUCUCACGUCAAGGGCUCAAAGCCAAGAAAAACUCCCGCCAACUACGCCUCACCGCGAACGACGCGUCACGGCCAUCCCCCCCCCCCAAAUGCUUCAAUUCAGAGCUCCUACGGGCGAGCACAGGCAUAACAUUAACCUACCUAACACUGCAGCUUGAACAACAAAAAAACAAUAUAAAAACAAAAAAUUUGGACACAUAGCGCACGCACCUGCAGAGAGUGGAAUUAAGAAAAGUCUCUUCGUCAAACUCAGAAAAAAAAAAAAAAAAAAAAAGACAGAGAGAGAGGGGUGGAUAGCGAGAGAGAGAGAGAGAACCUCCUCUUGCAGCUUCCGGUGAAGACCGAAUUGAAACAAGGAGAUGAAAGGUAAGGCGAAGAGAUCCAAAACAAAUCUAGGGUUGCCAAUCGUCAUCCUCAUAUGCUUCCUUUUCUUCGUCGCCGGUUUCUUCGUUUCCUCGCUUUUCUCUCAGGAUGUGCCUAGGGUUAGACCGAGGUUGAGGACGCUUGAAUUGGUCGAGGAGAUUGAGCAGGAGGGGCAGCUGGGUUCGAUGCCACACGGCGACACCGGAGGAGCUUCUAUUGAAUCAAUUCCUUUUCAGGUUUUAAGUUGGAAACCACGAGCUCUGUAUUUCCCAAAUUUUGCAACAGCCGAACAGUGUGAAACCAUAAUUAAGAUUGCAAAGACAAACCUUAAGCCAUCACUUUUGGCUUUGCGAAAGGGGGAAACUGCUGAGAGUACCAAGGGAACAAGGACAAGCUCAGGAACGUUUGUUAGUGCAUCCGAAGAUGAAACUGGAGUCAUGGAUCUUAUUGAGCAAAAAAUUGCUCGUGCUACAAUGAUUCCAAGAACCCACGGUGAGGCAUUCAACGUUCUGAGGUAUGAACUUGGGCAGAAGUAUGAUUCUCACUAUGAUGCAUUCAACCCAGCCGAAUACGGCCCACAACAGAGUCAAAGGGUUGCUUCUUUCUUGUUGUAUUUAUCCAAUGUAGAAGAAGGUGGAGAAACCAUGUUUCCUUUUGAGAAUGGCUCAAAUAUAGGUACAGGCUAUGAUUAUAAAAAAUGCUUAGGUUUAAAAGUGAAGCCACGCCAAGGGGAUGGCCUUCUAUUUUAUUCGGUGUUUCCAAAUGGAACAAUUGAUCGGGUAACUAUCUUUGCUUCAAAUUGUACUUGAUGCAUGUGUGUUUGUCUUUCCUGUUUCUAUCAAAAAAUGAUCAGGAGUAAGCUCUCUUUUGGAUCUCCAGAAAUUGUUUCCAGCAUAUUACAUCUCUUCAUGGAAGCUGUCCGGUGAUCAAAGGUGAGAAAUGGGUGGCUACAAAGUGGUUGAGAGAUCAAGAACAAGACGACUAAAGUAUUAUUUUGUGCAGCUUUCAUUUUUGUUUCCAAAAAUUUAAAUAUAAUGGUACGGGUUUUUAAAAAGGCCAGGAGUUUGAAAUUGUUAAAUCAGCAUACGGUCUUAUCUGCUAGCUCUUUACAUAUACACCUUUUGCGUACUUAUUUUCUCUUAGAAAGCAACAGUGCCAGGCAUGGCUGAUUGAUGGAACAAUUUCGAUGAAUACACCUAUUUUCUUGCCAUCCUAA